AAUCAACGCUGGCGGCGUGCCUCAGACAUGCAAGUCGAACGCGAAAGUCCCCUUCGGGGGACAAGUAGAGUGGCGCACGGGUGAGUAACACGUAGGUAAUCCACCUUCGGAUGGGGAAUAACAACCGGAAACGGUUGCUAAUACCGCAUAAUGCAGCGGCACCUAAUGGUGACAGUUGUUAAAGCGGGGGAUCGAAAGACCUCGCGUCUGAAGAGGAGCCUGCGGCGGAUUAGCAGUUGGUAAGGUAACGGCUUACCAAGGCGACGAUCCGUAGCCGGCCUGAGAGGGCGGUCGGCCACACUGACACUGACAUACGGGUCAGACUCCUACGGGAGGCAGCAGUCGGGAA
rnacentral:rRNA from 1 species